GAUUGAUUAGUUUAUUUUUCAAAACAAGUGUUUUGAAAACACUAAAAAAGAGACAAAUCCUCUUAUCUAUCA
rnacentral:tRNA from 1 species